rnacentral:rRNA from 1 species
CAGGGGGAUAUCCCGGAGAAAUCCGGACUAAUCCGCGUGGUACACCAGUGGGGCAUCCCACUGGUGUUAAAAGGAAGUGAUUCCGGCGGAGGAUGGGCAUGCGGCGCAUUAGCUUGUUGGCGGGGUAACGGCCCACCAAGGCAACGAUGCGUAGGGGUUCUGAGAGGAAGGUCCCCCACACUGGUACUGAGACACGGACCAGACUCCUACGGGAGGCAGCAGUGAGGAAUAUUGGUCAAUGGGCGGGAGCCUGAACCAGCCAAGUCGCGUGAGGGAAGACGGUCCUAUGGAUUGUAAACCUCUUUAGGCGGGGAGCAAUGCCGGGCACGUGUGCCCGGAGGGAGAGUACCCGCAGAAUAGGCAUCGGCUAACUCCGUGCCAGCAGCCGCGGUAAUACGGAGGAUGCGAGCGUUAUCCGGAUUUAUUGGGUUUAAAGGGUGCGUAGGCGGAUUUUUAAGUCAGCGGUAAAAUGUCCGGGCUCAACCCGGGCCGGCCGUUGAAACUGGGGAUCUUGAGUGGGCGAGAAGUAUGCGGAAUGCGUGGUGUAGCGGUGAAAUGCAUAGAUAUCACGCAGAACUCCGAUUGCGAAGGCAGCAUACCGGCGCCCGACUGACGCUGAGGCACGAAAGCGUGGGGAUCGAACAGGAUUAGAUACCCUGGUAGUCCACGCAGUAAACGAUGAAUGCUAGUUGUCCGGUUCUUUGGGACUGGGUGACACAG